GACGAACGCUGGCGGCGUGCCUAACACAUGCAAGUCGAACGGAAAGGCCCUGCUUUUGUGGGGUGCUCGAGUGGCGAACGGGUGAGUAACACGUGAGUAACCUGCCCUUGACUUUGGGAUAACUUCAGGAAACUGGGGCUAAUACCGGAUAGGAGCCCCUGCUGCAUGUUGGGGGUUGGAAAGUUUCGGCGGUUGGGGAUGGACUCGCGGCUUAUCAGCUUGUUGGUGGGGUAGUGGCUUACCAAGGCUUUGACGGGUAGCCGGCCUGAGAGGGUGACCGGCCACAUUGGGACUGAGAUACGGCCCAGACUCCUACGGGAGGCAGCAGUGGGGAAUAUUGCACAAUGGGCGGAAGCCUGAUGCAGCAACGCCGCGUGCGGGAUGACGGCCUUCGGGUUGUAAACCGCUUUCGCCUGUGACGAAGCGUGAGUGACGGUAAUGGGUAAAGAAGCACCGGCUAACUACGUG
rnacentral:rRNA from 1 species